AACCGGGGUCAAGGAUCGUCAGGAUGCUGUUAGAACAUGAGGGCCCACAACUGUGGGCUAUCCUUUGACAUUACUGUAUUUCCAUGGCGACUUAUGGACCUGUAUUUCAUUCGUGACCUUCUUCAAUCACCUCGUAAGUGCCCAGGGAAUGAUUGAUGCGUCUGUUCCGAUCUGUCAAUUUGUGGACGUUUGUGUAGUUUUAUCAUUAUCAUCAGUAGCGUCAUAUCUUGUGAAUACAGUCAGCGGAAUAAGUGAAGUGUAAACUACAGUUGCUUCGUUAUGGUUUUGUGUGAAAGAAGCUUAAAUUUGGUCUUGUACCUUGGGCCAUCCUGGACUCGCC
rnacentral:lncRNA from 1 species